UACACUCCUACGGGAGGCAGCAGUGGGGAAUUUUGGACAAUGGGCGAAAGCCUGAUCCAGCAAUGCCGCGUGAGUGAAGAAGGCCUUCGGGUUGUAAAGCUCUUUUGUCAGGGAAGAAACGGUGAAAGCUAAUAUCUUUUGCUAAUGACGGUACCUGAAGAAUAAGCACCGGCUAACUACGUGCCAGCAGCCGCGGUAAUACGUAGGGUGCAAGCGUUAAUCGGAAUUACUGGGCGUAAAGCGUGCGCAGGCGGUUUUGUAAGUCUGAUGUGAAAUCCCCGGGCUCAACCUGGGAAUUGCAUUGGAGACUGCAAGGCUAGAAUCUGGCAGAGGGGGGUAGAAUUCCACGUGUAGCAGUGAAAUGCGUAGAUAUGUGGAGGAACACCGAUGGCGAAGGCAGCCCCCUGGGUCAAGAUUGACGCUCAUGCACGAAAGCGUGGGGAGCAAACAGGAUUAGAAACCCUUGAGUCCCAUGA
rnacentral:rRNA from 1 species